rnacentral:rRNA from 1 species
UACGUAGGAGGCGAGCGUUGUCCGGAGUUACUGGGCGUAAAGGGUGCGCAGGCGGCGGUUCGCGUGGAUAGAUGAAAUCUCCUGGCUUACCUGGGAGGAUGGUAUCCAGACGGGAUCGCUUGAGGGUCGGAGAGGGGCGUGGAAUUCCGGGUGUAGUGGUGAAAUGCGUAGAGAUCCGGAGGAACCCCAGAGGCGAAGGCGGCGCUCUGGCUCGCAACUGACGCUCAGACACGACAGCAUGGGGAGCGAACGGG